GCCUGGGUGGCUCAGUUGGUUGAGCGUCUGACUUCAGCUCAGUCAUGAUCUCGCUGUCUGUGAGUUUAAGCCCUGCAUCAGGCU
rnacentral:tRNA from 1 species